rnacentral:ncRNA from 1 species
UGCGGAAGAGACUGAUUGAAUUCAGAGCCGAAGGAGCAACCGCCCUCGGAAACUCUCAGGCAAAUGGACCGCUU